AUCGAACGCUGGCGGCAUGCCUUACACAUGCAAGUCGAACGGUAACAGGUCUUCGGAUGCUGACGAGUGGCGAACGGGUGAGUAAUACAUCGGAACGUGCCCAGUCGUGGGGGAUAACGAAGCGAAAGCUUUGCUAAUACCGCAUACGAUCUACGGAUGAAAGCGGGGGAUCGCAAGACCUCGCGCGAUUGGAGCGGCCGAUGGCAGAUUAGGUAGUUGGUGGGGUAAAGGCUUACCAAGCCUACGAUCUGUAGCUGGUCUGAGAGGACGACCAGCCACACUGGGACUGAGACACGGCCCAGACUCCUACGGGAGGCAGCAGUGGGGAAUUUUGGACAAUGGGCGCAAGCCUGAUCCAGCAAUGCCGCGUGCAGGAUGAAGGCCUUCGGGUUGUAAACUGCUUUUGUACGGAACGAAAAGCUCUGGGUUAAUACCCUGGGGUCAUGACGGUACCGUAAGAAUAAGCACCGGCUAACUACGUGCCAGCCGCCGCCGUAAUAC
rnacentral:rRNA from 1 species